rnacentral:lncRNA from 1 species
UAUUGUUCAUUACCAGGUAAAGACACUUAAGUGCGCAUCUCCACUGUUCUCUUUGUAGAGCAUGACUGCAUUAAACUACUACAAGGGCCAUAAAAAGCUGAGGGGGAGUUCAGGCAUCAAAUGUGUUUCCUGGAAGCCCGAGAACUGAAGUAAUCCACUGAGUGGCCUCCUGGCACUGAUACAAGAAAGGAGGGAAUUUCAUGUACAGCACUGACCUUUACGGAUCAAAUAUUUUGUAUUUGUUCAGAGGGAGAGACUGAAACGUUCGCCCCCAGCCAGCACACGCCCCUGGUCCUUGAUGAGAGAACUACCAAAACGUUCAGCAAGCCAAAGCUCUCUGGUAAUGCAACCAGAAACUGGGAAUGUCUGCCUGCACCAGCACUAAUGACACCUGCAGUGCCCACAAGGAACAGCAGUGCACUGACAGUCUGAGUGCAGGAAUGCAACUGCCAAAAAGGAUCGUGCACACAGCUGCAAUUCAACAGCCAUCGUUAUUCAGGGAUCACCCCACUCUUCAGUUUGGA